rnacentral:rRNA from 1 species
GGGCCUACGGGGGGCAGCAGUGAGGAAUAUUGGUCAAUGGGAGAGAUCCUGAACCAGCCAAGCCGCGUAUAGGAAGAAGGUUUUCGGAUUGUAAACUAUUGUCGUUAGGGAAGAUAAAAGACUGUACCUAAGGAGGAAGCCCCGGCUAACUAUGUGCCAGCAGCCGCGGUAAUACAUAGGGGGCAAGCGUUAUCCGGAAUUAUUGGGUGUAAAGGGUGCGUAGACGGAGAAACAAGUUGGUUGUGAAAUCCCUCGGCUCAACUGAGGAACUGCAACCAAAACUAUUUCCCUUGAGUGUCGGAGAG